rnacentral:lncRNA from 1 species
AAAGAAACAGGAUAUAAAAACCUGACGUGUCUGUGGCAAGAUCCUGGCCACCUAACUUAUUAACGCAGCGUCCAUUGUGAGAUGCCGCAGUUCCGUGCAGUCAGAAGAUGGCUCCAGCGCCUUAAUUUUGCUCCUGUUUCUAGCACGAGAUUUAAGGGGCAAGAUGCACUUCAGUGCUAUUUUUCCUUUCCGAUUUUGCCGUCGUCUCAUUUGGUUCAAAACAUCAAACUGCAGCAUAUAUGGAGUUGUAAAGGGUCCAUUAAUAUAGAUGGAAUCAAAGAAGUGAAAGGCCAGCCUACCAAUAGUUAAACUUCUAGUCACCAGCUAAUGCAGAUGGAAAGGGAAAUACAGGGCCACAGAAGGAGAUUGAAAAGCACCGGCCUAAGCAACUUUGGAAAAUGGACACACCCAUAUUCACACCACCACAACCGAAGAAUAGAAUGUUCCUAUCACCCGGAAAAGUUCCUUCAUUCUCUUUUGCAGCCAAUCACCCUCAUUCAACCCCUGGCUCCCAGCAACCACUGAUCUAAUUUGAGUCACCAUAGAUUAUUUUGCUUAUUUUGGAAUUUCAUCUCAGGGAACCAUACUGUAUGCAUUCUUUCAUGUCUGGCUUCUUUUGAUUAGCUUAGUUUGUUUUUUUGUUUGUUUGUUUAGACUCAUCCAAGAGUAGUGGCUAAUCUUAUAUUUUAUUUUUAUCACUGAGUAAUAUCUCCUUAUAUGAAUAUAUUAAUAAGUCAACAUUUAAUAAUGCAUUCACUUUUUG